UGUCGUCUGCAGAAUUAAGCGUUGAAAGGUUCUCACAUAGGUGAUAUUUUCAAGAACAAUUCAGUGACAGGCAUACAGGAUUUUAACCCUACAGCCUUCAUGGAACCAGCGGGACCAUGGCUGGGGAAGCAAGUUUCUUCAAAAACAAGCUGUAUGCGUUGGGGGUCAGGGAUCACAUAUGCCAUCUUAUCAAAUACUUGACUUCCUCUUUAGAGUCUGACAAAGCUUCUGUAUUUUCAUAGGACCUCCCCCCAGCAGACAGACAAUGCUGGGGGGAAAAAAGGAAGCUAAACAAUGAUGUGCUAAAUUUGACAGAAACUUAACUUUUUUUUUUUAAAAGAUUUAUUUAUUUAUUUGAGAGAGCGAGAAUGAGAGAGAGUACAUGAGAGGGGGGAGGGUCAGAGGGAGAAGCAGGCUCCUCGCUGAGCAGGGAGCCCGAUGCGGGACUUGAUCCAGGGACUCCAGGAUCAUGACCUGAGCCGAAGGCAGUUGCCUAACCAACUGAGCCACCCAGGCGCCCAACAGAAACUUAACUUUUCACAUGAUACCAAACCUUACCCAAAUGCAACGUUCUUUGCCCUGCUUUUGUUCUCCAAUUUUCCACUGAAGCCAUCCCGAGGAAGUGGUAUCAUCAGCUUAAUUAAAAAUACUUCCUUUGUCUUGGCUGGCUUUUACCAAAAGGAGUGGUUCAAGUUCUUAGAAGAGAUGGCUCCUGGCGUUACAAUAGCUGAGGGCUCUGGGAGCCCCUUUCACGCGGGCUCUGCUGGGACCCGUAAUGUAGCUAGGUAAACAGCGAUCUCAUUUUGGGUCAUGCGGGUUUACUAACAUCAUCGUGAAAGGUAUCAACAAGAUAUGAGGUAGCUGUCAAUUUAUUUAACUCCGUUUGCUUUGGCUUUUGGGUUUUUUUUUUUCCGUCUUACGGAGUGAACUCGGAGGAAGCUGGAAACAUUUCUUUCCACUGAAUUUUUGUCAAGCUAAAAGCAAUGCCUGCUCAUUAAAUAAUUGUAAAUGAAUAGAAAAAAAGAGAAGUUACUGACAAUCCCCAAACUUUCAGACAAACACUUUCUAUUUUCCUUGAUUUUGAGACACACUUAGGAACUCUCAUUAUUUUUUGAAGGUUUCAAAUAAUCCUAAAUGAGGACGCGUCUGUCUGUUCUGAAAUCAGAAUGGUUACUGAAGCUCCACACAUUUCAGUUGGGUUAAACUUUGACCAAGCCAGGUGACCAGUUAGCAGACCACGUGGAAUACUUUCUAUCAGCCAAGACCACACACCCAGAUUCCUGGAGCAGGUCUCAGUGUUUGUAAUCAAACAUAACCCCAGAAUGUUUGCUCUCCUAAGCAUUUGAGACACAUUCUUCUCAUUUGAAAGCUUUGUGUCUUACUCAACAACCUCUGUAUCUAAACUAUGUUAAAGAUACAUAGUGAAGGGAUGACAUCACAGAGCUGAUUUUGUUCUUUCAGCUCUGUGCUUAGCUAAAGUUGAGCAGUUGCAAUGAGUCAUGCAAUCUUGUGACCGGCCGGGCACUUUUCCAAUCAGAAAGACAGUUAAGAUCUUUAACAGAAUCUGGAGUUGUUUGAAGACGAGGUAACAGCAGGACCUGGACGCUUGGUGAAACCAAGCCUGUAUGAAAGGGACUGUUGGAGAAAUGACUAUCUCCCAGGUGUUAAGUGAUCUCUCAUUGCGGUUUUGAUUUGCAUUUCCCUGAUGAUUGGUGAUGCUGAGCACAUUUUCAUUUACCUAUUGACCAUUGUUAUAGAUGUGGAAGUCUUCUAAUAUAUUUGGAGCAUUAAAAAAGAUACACAGAAACAUCAAGUGAAACUGUGAAUCAGACAAGCAUAUAUGCAAGUGGAGGUUCUAACAGAUGUCCUUGUACUGCGAUUCAUCACUUCCUGCAGGCUUUGGGGCACGUGCACCCCGCUUUUGAGACCCCUGAGCUAAUCGGAGACCUGGGGGCUUCAGGGAGGUCCUCAUGGGGAAAAUGAAGUGGUCCUUCCCCUCUUUAUGACCCCGCCUGAGUGAGUAGGCUUCGGAAGUAAAGCCACACUGGGUAGAGCACAGCUACAAGAAGAUGUCUGCCAUAAUCACAAAGGGGAAGUAAUGGAUUUUGUAUUAGGGCACAUAAAUGAGAUCACCGACACAUGAACACGCAUAAAUCUCCUAUGUUGGGAGAAGAUGGGGCCCAGGGUUUAUUGAUUACCUACCACGUGGCAAGCAUGAUUCCAGACAGCUCAUAUAUGUGGAAAGAGAUAAGGCCGUACAGCUUUUACCUAAAAUGUUUGGUGAUAUAUUGUCGUGCAAUAUCCCAUUGCUUUUAUAACUUUAUGGAUCCAUUCAUGCCACAGUGUGUGAGCACUUCCUGGGCGUGUUGUGGUCUACUCGAUAUCAGGAGAGUUGCAAAGCCCUGGAGGAACAGCUGCAAAAUAGACUUCAAGGGAAUUUUACUACUUCCUUUUUCUCCGAUUGAAAAAAAGAGAGAGAAAAGCGAAGAUUUCAGUGACCCGAGAUUCCUUUCUCUUUAUUGAUGAGGACAGUGCCUGGAACUGCCUGCCCUCAGGAGACACAGGGGUCCCCUUUGUAAUUGCUUGGAAAUGAGGAACUUCCAGAGACCCAGAAGAAGAAUUUGACCUUGGGGUGUGAAUGGUUAAUGGGAGCUUGUUGCAGAGGAGGUCCUGUUUCGGUUGACUGGUAUGAACUUAUUGAAAUCUCAGGGCAACUCUGAGUGAAAGGAGGAUUUAUCAUCUCUAGUUUAUAGAUGGGAAACUCAUGGGGGUUAGAAACUUGCCCCAGGCCACAUGGUUAGUAACUGAUAGAGCCCGAAUGCAGUCCAGGGCUCCUGGCUUCCAAUCUCCCUCUCCAUUAAAGAUGCUGCCUCCUUGUGUGCUGUCCUGUGAAUCAUUCUUCAAUGGUGUGAGAUAAAGUUUACUUGCCAGUUUUCAGGUUUGGAAUGAAAAAUACAAGUUGUCGUUCAAUCGUCUUUGUCUGGCCUCUACAUCUGCAUAAAGGUUUCAGGUUUCCAGGGAGGCGGUUCCUCUUCACGUGCUCUCAAUGGCCUGUCGCUCACUGUCCUCCAGAGUUCCAUGAGGGACCCCAGGAGAACUCCUAGAACUGCCCUCCAGCACCACCUCCCUCGAAGGACACUCUGCUGGAGCAGGUCUAGCUGCCUUUCUCUCUACCUGCCUAGAAUCUGUGUCAUCAUGGAAAACAAGUUUCUAAGGAAUGUAGGCGUCACGACCUGCAACAGCAUUCAAACUGAGUCCAGGAGAGACAGAAUGGAAGGGUCUGGCCCCAUGUGCAGCAUGUGGAAGUGUGGGGACCAGAAGAGCACUUCCACAAGGUACUGGGUAAUGGCAGCAUUUUCAUGCAAGAAAAUACUCCUCCCGUGGUAGCUGAGAGGACAGCGCAAGACCACAAGCAAACCCAGCACCAUCCAUUUCCAGGGAGAGUGUGGAUUCUUUGUUCCUUCACAACUUUGAUCAUCAGAACAUGUAUUCAGUUUGUGUGAUUUUUGCUUGGAAAGAACUGAGUGGUUGGCAACAAAAACAACAUUAUAAGGGAAGUACUUGUAAAGCUCCUAAGUGAUUCCCUUAGGGCAUGGACACCCAGAGCAAUGCUCUGUUCUCUGAACCUCAUCUGUUCCAGGCAUCCUUGGCUGGUUGGUCUGGUCACACAAUCCACUGCAAGACGUGGGUCUCUCAGUAUUUCCCCAAAAGGAGGGCUGGUGUGUGUGUGUGUGUGUGUGUGUUUUAAACACAAAUGUGUCCAAACUAAGUACUGCUUAUGUCAAUCAGGGUUCUGGAAGGACGCAAAAUUCAGGCUAGAUGAUUCAAAUGAAGAGAUCUUAAUGAAGAAACUACUCACAUUGUAUUUCUUAAACUUACAUAUAUUACAUGUAAAUAAUAGCUCAAUAAAGCCAGGGAAAGAAAGAAGUGUCUUUGUGGGAGGCAGAUUUCUAAACAGCCACAAGAAUUAUUGUCCACAUACACCUCUGUAACUCUUUCCUCUGCUGGGUGGGCUGCAUUUAGUGACGGGCUUCCAACCAAUAGAACACAGCAAAGGUGUUGAGGUCUCAUUUUCAUGAUUAGGUCACAAAAGAUGUGGCUUUGGUUUUGCUGGUAUCUCCCUUGCCUUCUUGCAUUGAAGCUUUGAUGAAGCAAGCCCCCAUGAUGGAGGGACCCACUUGGCAAGGAUCUGAGGGCAGCCUCCCACAGCCAGACUUCGAGGAAUCGAGUUAUACCAACAACCACUUGGUCACGGUCCUUUCCCUGGCUGGGCUUCCUGGUGACCAUAGCCUGGCCACCACUGGGCUGCAGGCUGAUGAGACUCCAUUCUAGGGGGUCCAGCUAAGCUGCACCUGGACCCCUGACCCAAAGAAGCUGUGAGAUAAUAAAUGUGCGCUGUCCCAAGCCACUAAAUCUUGGUGUAAUUUGUUAUGCAGCAAUAGAUCAUUAAUAAUUCCAGGUCUAUUGGGGGCAUACUUUAAAAAAAAAAGAUUUAUUUAUUUAUUUUAGAGGGGUAGGAGGAGAGGGAGAGGGAGAGAGGACUCCGAUCUGAGCAUGGAGCUUGAUUUUGGGGAUCAAUCUCAUGACUCUGAGAUCACAAGCUGAGCCAAAAUCAAGAGUUGGAUGCUUAACUGACUGAGCUACCCAGGUGUCUCUUGGGGGCAUACUUAUAUUUACAAUCAACUUAUAGAACAUUUCCAUGAUCCCCUAGAAUUCCACCCUGCCCCUUUCCCCAGCCCCUGGUAACUAUGACUCAAUGAUGAUUGAGUUUAAGGAUAGUUAUCUAGGUUUAUAAUCUAAGAUUUUACUUAUGCAUUAAUUUUACUAUCAUGAUUACAGUGUAGAGUGCUGAUCUCCAUCUCUUUCAUUUGCCUUUUGAUGAAUGAGUGUAAAAAGUUUUCUUCUGCCAGUUUUCUUCUGUACCAUUAGGGACAGGACAUGAAAAGUUCUGAACUGGGGCGCCUAGGUGGCUCAGUCGUUAAGCGUCUGCCUUCGGCUCAGGUCAUGGUCCCAGGGUCCUGGGAUCGAGCCCCGCAUCGGGCUCCCUGCUCCGCAGGAAGCCUGCUUCUCCCUCUCCCACUUCCCCUGCUUGUGUUCCCUCUCUUGCUGUCUCUCUCUCUCUGUCAAAUAAAUAAAUAAAAUCUUAAAAAAAAAAAAAAAGAAAAGAAAAGUUCUGAACUCCCAUUGUCGCCCCCAAGUCUCUAAAUCUUCACUGAAGGUUGUGCAGUCCUUCGGGCAGGGCAAGAAGAAAACAGAAAGCUGAGGAUGUUUCACAAUUGCUUCAUCUUUCAGGUCCUUCUAUCACCCUCUGGUUCUCAUUAUUUGGUCUUUUUUUUAGCACUGCUGGGAAUAAUUGAUGGGUAAGGAUGAGAGAUGAUGAUAUAAUUUCUGGGAUUAUAAGUAGCAAAACAUUUCAAGAUGCAGGAAAAAUAAGAUCACUUAGACUCAUAAUGUGCCUUAUGGUGAUGAUGAACUUAUGGGAGAAUCCAAUGGACCUGUAUGGUAAUUAAAAGAUUAAACGUCUUAUUCUAUUUUUAAAAAUAAGUGUAUUUUAUCUUUGGUUUUUGGAAGACCUCUAAGAGAGGAUAAAAGUCAUGAAAUGCCAUUUAAACCACUUUGAAAACCUCAGACACUAAAACAGGGUCCAAUAAUGCCUGGUGCUGAAUGUGAAUGAGGUAGGGUGAGACCUGAGGCCAGAGGUGGUAGCGAGCCAUUUCCACCCUGUGAGAGGGGGACAAAAAGAAGAGCUCAGUAUAGAGAAGGAGCCCAGCAAGAGGCAGAACCGUAGAGAAAAGGCCACUGGAAUCAGUGAAUUUAGGAGAAGCCCGGUUGUUGCCAUGGGCAUCAUGUCAAAGCAGGGGAGAGACAAUGAUGCCUCCUUGCUGACACUCAGCCAUCAAUGAUGCAUUCCCUUAGCCAGACCAAGCCAACUGGCACCUUUCAGGGCUCUAAGGGCAGACAGGCAGAGGAUGGAUCUAGGCAGCCGUGUGAAAAAAGAACCUUCACAUGCUUCUAGUGACUUCUUUGAAAUCUGUCUUGGAUGGUUUUCCUCUUUAGCACAUGUGAAUAUACCUCAUUCUUCUAAAUUGCUCUAAGACACAAAGCAUAGAUGAACCAUACCAGGGAGGACCUUAGAAAGCAGGUGGCACUUCCUCUGAGGCUUGAAGGAUUUUAGUACAUGUUUCUCUGUAUAGAGCAGAAAUGGCAGUCCAAAGUGUAAUGAGCUGAGUAAGGGAAAGGCUCAUUAUCUGAGAGGCUUCUCUGGUGGCUGGCAUAAAAUAGAUACUCAAUAAAUACUUACAUUAAAUUGAGCUUGUUGAGGAAGAGAAUUAAUCAACCAAAUCUGCAUUUUUUAUUGUUGUUUCAUUAAAUACAUUUCUUUAGCUGUAUGUUAACAGUAAAGAAAUUUGGAGAUCUGAGGCAAUAAUCUAGAUAAUUUUAAGACUGAUAACCUGCUAUUUAGGAAGUCGUUCUUUUAGGUCUAAAUGAGCUAUGUUGAGUAGAGUCAAUUAGAUCAUUGCUCAAGUCCACAUACUAUGCCAUUUGGCAUGUUCUAUCUUUUUGUUUAAAAUGGUAAUUAGUGGGGCGCCUGGGUGGCUCAGUUGGUUAAGCGACUGCCUUCGGCUCAGGUCAUGAUCCUGGAGUCCCGGGAUCGAGUCCCGCAUCGGGUUCCCUGCUCGGCAGGGAGUCUGCUUCUCCCUCUGACCCUCCUCCCUCUCAUGCUCUCUG